rnacentral:rRNA from 1 species
GACAGAGGGGGCAAGCGUUGCUCGGAAUCACUGGGCGUAAAGGGCGCGUAGGCGGGAUGGCAAGUCGGUCGUGAAAUCUCUCGGCUCAACCGAGAAACGUCGGCCGAUACUGCUGUUCUUGAGGGAUGCAGAGGAGACUGGAAUUCCCAGUGUAGCGGUGAAAUGCGUAGAUAUUGGGAGGAACACCGGUGGCGAAGGCGGCCCCCUGGGCUGGUACUGACGCUGAUGCGCGAAAGCGUGGGUAGCAAACGGG